AGGAUUAACGCUGGCGGCGUGCCUGACACAUGCAAGUCGAACGAGGCCGCAAGGCCGAGUGGCGGACGGGUGAGUAACACGUGACCAACCAACCUCGAAGUUGGGAAUAGCUCUGCGAAAGUAGGGGUAAUACCGAAUGUGGCCCAGGGCGGGCAUCCGCCUUGGUCUAAAGAUUCAUCGCUUCGAGACGGGGUCGCGGCCUAUUAGCUUGUUGGUGAGGUAACGGCUCACCAAGGCGAUGAUGGGUAGCUGGUCUGAGAGGACGACCAGCCACACUGGGACUGAGACACGGCCCAGACUCCUACGGGAGGCAGCAGUGAGGAAUCUUCCGCAAUGGGCGAAAGCCUGACGGAGCAACGCCGCGUGUGGGAUGAAGGCUCUAGGGUUGUAAACCACUGGUCGGAGGGGACGAUCGUGACGGUACCCUCCAAGAACGCCCCGGCUAACUACGCGCCAGCAGCCGC
rnacentral:rRNA from 1 species